AACGGGGUACUGCGACUGGCGAUAGGCGCGGCGCUUCCUCCACGAAGCGCUGCCGCUGACGUGGAAUCCGGCAGGAGGCAAUCUUCUGUGACCACUGGGAAGCGUGCCGCAGCGAGCCACGUAUCGCUGCGUUCCGCCGUUCGCCUGGGCAGCCCUU
rnacentral:ncRNA from 1 species